GGCUGCUUCUGGGAGCGUCGUGGGGCCAUGGCAUGCAGGCAGCCUGCCUGAGCCCUGCUGCGCCGCCGGUCAGGAACCACCUGUAGUAAGUGCCUCCCGGCCGGAGCCUACACUUCUCACCCCCUCCUGCACCCCAGCCCCCUGCCCCAGGUCAGAAUCCCCCCCUGCGCCCAAUCUCCCUCCCAGAAAGAAACUAAUCUAACAGCUGCUCUAAGGAAAAAGACUUGUAUACGGGGUCCUGCAAAAUCUAAUAGCCCCGGGCCCACAGGAGAGUUAAUCCGGCCCUCACUAUCUGGUAUUGGCCCCUGCAGGACAUCCGACUGGAUAGCAUGUGACGGGAUAGGGAUGACGCUAUUUAUAAAGUAAACUGUCCCAAGAAAACAACGUGGGCUGAGAAUGCGUUGCCAGAAUAUUGAGCUGCCCACCUCUUCGCAGGGCUGAUCAGCUGACACAACUGAGAUGGAGGACGGUCUUGAAAUUAAAGCACCGGACUGUGAGUCAGGGCUCCUGACCUCUGGGCUUGGCUCUGCCACUGAUUCGCUGUGUGACUGUAAAUAAGGCCUUUAACCACUCCGUGCCUCAGUUUCCCCAUCUGCAAAAUGGAAGUGCCGCUCGCCCACCAGCGCAGCUACUCCGUCAGUCCGGGAUAUUUUGUACCCUGGUAUUACAGUGUCCCGGUUAUCAUCGUUCUACCAAGUUUCUGUAAUGCCGCCUAUAUCAAUAGCCUCAUUUAAUACCAGGUGCUCAAGUUCACUCAGCUUAAUAUUUAGACUUCUAGCGUCCGUGUACAAGCCCGUAUAACAUCUGUCGCUAGUGAAUUGUCUGCCUUCAUGGGAAGUAAUUGAAUGGGACUCUUUUUCAUUUGACUGUUUCUCUGCAGUUCCUACCUGCGCUUUAUCAACCUCGAUCCCCUCCUCUCUACUAGGAUAUAGCGAAUCCCCUUCAAUAAAUCCUCCCCUAAGGCAUGUCUCAGAACCGCAUGCUCCUGCGCAUCUCUCAGCUGUCCCCCUCCUUGAUGAACGAUUGAAUUUUCCACGCCAGCAAUCUGGUUCUGUUUUGGCUUCGGUGGAGCCCGUCCUUCCUGUACAGGCUCCUCCUUCCCCACAUGGUUCUCCGGGUCCUAACAAACCUAAACCCGCCUCCCAGCACCAUCGUCUCAUCCACGUGUUGGGGCCCUGCAGUUCUGCCCGUCUUACUGGACCUGUGCGUGGAACUGGAAGCAUUUCAGAGAAUGCUCCCAGGAGGGUCUGGACUCGAAUCUCUGACCUAGCAGCCUAAAUUUGGCCUCCAGGAACUCCCUCCUACCAUUCCCUACAUCACUGGUACCACGACCACCAGCUCCUCCCCAGCACUGCACAGAAGUCUGUCUAGAGAUCCACAACAUUCGCACCCAGCAGGCAAUUCACCGUGUGGUUCUCCCGGUCAUCACAACCCAACUCUCUAAUAACCAACCCCCAUGACUGUCUCCUGUCUCUUCCUAACAACAGGGUCCCCUCCCCUGGAGGGGUGUCCUCAGUGCGAGAGGAUACCAGGACAUCUUCUGGAAGGAGGCUCUCAACUACAGGACUCAGUUUCCCUCUGUUCUCCGUCCCCGAGACUUUCACCCUCCCCAACAGCACAGAAGCAGCCAGACUGGGGCUGGGCCUGCUCUGCUGUGUCCAGGAAAACCUGGUCUGUGUCCCUGGCUGUCUCCCUGAGCUCCUCCGGUUCAGUCACUCUGGUCUCCAGAGCCCAUACUCAGUGCCCGAGGGCCAGGAGCUGUUUGUGCUGAACACACACAUACGCCACCUGCCCGUAAGGCAGGCAAUCCUACAUGCUGCAUUCAGGCUUAAUUAGUUAAUAUUUGUAAAGCUCUUUGAGCCUUUCAGAUGGAAAGUCCUUCAGAGGUGCAACAUAUGGUAAAGCGCCCGACAGUGUGUGUAUGCACCACUGCCUUCCGUUGUGUGGAAUCAGAACUGCUCAACUGCGUGUCAUAGGCCCUAUACCACUAACAGAGAUUCUCCUUUAGCUCAAAUGGCUGUGACUCGGAAUCUGGGUUCUCUUGCCCACUGCUAGAGUGAAGCUCAAAUAGCCACAGAUGAGCAGAGUUUGUUCGAUUCGUUUCCCUGUGCUCUGCCAGGUAGACUUCUUGGAGGCUCUGCAGGGCAGCUGGCUGAACCAGGGAGGCAUUGAGCAAACAAUUCCCAUUAUCACCAGGUCUUGUGACUUUUGCAGAAACUCCCCCGUGGUUACCAAAGAAGAUCGUCAAGCCAUUGCAUCAGCCAGCUCAAAGUUUCCGUCUGUCAUGUGAGGAAGGCUUUUGAAUCAGUGAACCUAGAAGGAAGCGAAAACAAACCAGUGGGCUGACAAAUAUAGCUUCUAGGGAACAAAACUAAAGAGAAAUCAGAGAGAAACUUCUCUUGGCCUGCAGAAUGCAGAGCUGUUAAUUUAAAGCACUUUAUAAACAGUGAACUAAGGCCAGGUCUACCCUCUGGGGUGUACUGUGGUUUAACCCUAUUGUGUAGAGGCUAGAGGCAGCCUACAGUGAAGGAAGGGGGUUUCCGUUUUUGUAGGAACUCCACCUCCCCAAGUGAUAGUAGCUGGAUUGAUGGACGCAUUCCUCCACUGACCUAGCUGUAGGUCAGAAUAGCUACAGCGUUCGGGGGGUGGGGGUGGAUUUUUCACACCCCUGAGUGACAUAGGUAAGUCAAUCGACCUCAAUUUUAACUGUAGCCUGGGCUAGAACCUCAUUAUUGCCUUGGGAAGUAGGUAUUAUUAUAAUGAUUUUAUAGCAGGGUAAACUGAGGCUUCCUGCCUGCCCCAGCCCUACAGAUAACCUGCCUGUUCCCCGAAGCAUGAUGUUUGCUCGCUGUCAUCACACCUGGAAUGUGACUAGAGGUAAUCAAAUGAUCCAGCCCUUUAAUAGGUAAAAUCCAGCCACAAGAUUUCCUGGAGUGACUCAUGUAGCAACCAAAGCUGCACCUCUGGGACUAGAACCCAGGAGUCCUGACACCCGGCUCCUGCUCUGAUCACUGGGCGAGGCUCGCGCUCUACAUCAUUUGCUCAGCUAAUCUGGUGCCCCAGGGUAAGUGUGAAAACGGCGAAUCUGGCAAUGCAGGCUGGAGAAAUCCGUUCCCCAUCUAAAGAGCUCAGAGUGUUAAAGCUGAACGGGAGGCAGGCGUUCUUUCCUUGCCUCUGGGAACAAACGCAGGAGGGCAGGUCUCACGGGGGUGCUGGCAGGAAGCCCCCGGUUCCUGACUCCGUGGCACGUCUGGAAUGAACAGCCACCCAUGGGGCUGGGCUCUGGAAAUCCUCCCCCCUGUCUGCGUCGUUCCCUGGUGGGGCUGGAGCGCGUGUCAGCCAAAGGGGGCUGCUGUGAAUGAGUCUGGUCUGGCCUCUGGCCUUCUCCUUCCCUCUGGGCCCUGCUUUGUGACUAGUGGGCGUUGCUCCUUAUCCACCCGUGGGAACAGCUCUUUGUGUUGUGGCCAGCAGUCUCCGAUUCCUUAGCUCUUGCCUGGAGCAGCCAGGCGGCAAUGCUAGGAGGGCUCGCCAGGAUAGCUACAGCGGCACCGUUUUUCUAGCGCAAACGCCGCCGCAGGCAGUGCCAUCCUUGGACGAGCCCCAGGCAAAAUGGAGAGUUUCCAUUUUGAGGCUCCAGCCUCCCAUUGACAUUCGAUGGAUGCCCGACUGCCAUGGGGCCUUGGAAAAUCUCCCCCGAGUCGAGGUAGGAAAUGCCCCCCAGCCAGUUACCCGGGAGACACCUCGUGAAUUGCAAAGCUCCGGAAACAACAUUUUGUCUCCUUCUAGGGCAGAAUCUACCCGACAGCUUAACCUGCUCCCCAGCCCCCCCAGAAGGGAACACCUGCAGUGUGAAGUCCAGGGCCUGUGUGCAUUAGGGACUUUGUGCAGGUGUGGCUACACCUUAUAACCCACCCCAGUAGAACACCUGCUGCAGACUGGUGCAUGAGGGGCGUGUGCACCCAGUAGCGCAUUAGCCAGUGGACUGAUGGGGCCCGUGCCCAGGGCCAACUGAAAGGCCCCCAGAACCCACCCCCCAGCAGCCCCUGACCCAUCCCCGGCAGCAGCUGCGGGAUGGGGGAAACCCCCCCAGCGACUCCUGACCCCAUCCCCAGCAGAUGUUCCCGGGCAGGGGGAGCCCCAGUGCCUGCCAUCCAUCCCCAGCAGAAGCCGGGGGCAGCAAAGGAAGCCCCUGCACCCGACCCUGGUCCCCCGCAGAAGUGCAGGGCGGGGGGGGGGGAAGCCCCAGCAUCUGGACCCCUGCUGGGGCCCUGGGACUGGAGGAGCUCUCACUCCCCACUGGGACAGAGCUUCUCCAUACCAAAAAGGGUUG